rnacentral:rRNA from 1 species
UACGUAGGUGGCAAGCGUUGUCCGGAUUUAUUGGGUUUAAAGGGUGCGUAGGCGGCUUUGUAAGUCAGUGGUGAAAUAUGGCAGCUUAACUGUCAAGGUGCCAUUGAUACUGCAGAGCUUGAGUACAGAUGAGGUAGGCGGAAUUGACGGUGUAGCGGUGAAAUGCUUAGAUAUCGUCAAGAACACCUAUAGCGAAGGCAGCUUACUAGCUGAUAACUGACGCUGAGGCACGAAAGUGUGGGGAUCAAACA